UAAUACGAACCGUACGAACGUUAUUCGGAAUCACUGGGCUUAAAGAGUGCGUAGGCGGCCUAGCAAGUUGGGUGUGAAAUCCCUCGGCUCAACCGAGGAACUGCGCCCAAAACUGUUAGGCUUGAGGGAGACAGAGGUGAGCGGAACUAAUGGUGGAGCGGUGAAAUGCGUUGAUAUCAUUAGGAACACCGGUGGCGAAGGCGGCUCACUGGGUCUCUUCUGACGCUGAGGCACGAAAGCUAGGGGAGCGAACGGGAUUAGAUACCCCGGUAGUCCUAGCUGUAAACGAUGAGUACUAGGUUGUGGGACCUUCCACAGUUUCACGACCGUAGCGAAAGUGUUAAGUGCUCCGCCUGGGGAGUAUGGUCGCAAGGCUG
rnacentral:rRNA from 1 species